GACGAACGCUGGCGGCGCGCCUAACACAUGCAAGUCGAACGGAGCUUAGAGAGCUUGCUUUUUAAGCUUAGUGGCGAACGGGUGAGUAACGCGUGAGUAACCUGCCCUAGAGUGGGGGGACAACAGUUGGAAACGACUGCUAAUACCGCAUAAGCCCACGGUAUCGCAUGAUACUGAGGGAAAAGGAUUUAUUCGCUUUAGGAUGGACUCGCGUCCAAUUAGCUAGUUGGUGAGGUAACGGCCCACCAAGGCGACGAUUGGUAGCCGGACUGAGAGGUUGAACGGCCACAUUGGGACUGAGACACGGCCCAGACUCCUACGGGAGGCAGCAGUGGGGGAUAUUGCACAAUGGGGGAAACCCUGAUGCAGCGACGCCGCGUGGAGGAAGAAGGUUUUCGGAUUGUAAACUCCUGUCGUUAGGGAC
rnacentral:rRNA from 1 species